rnacentral:rRNA from 1 species
AGUGGCGAACGGGUGCGUAACACGUAGGAAUCUACCCAGCUGCGGGGGACAACCCGGGGAAACUCGGGCUAAUACCGCAUACGCCCUACGGGGGAAAGGUGGGGACCUCUUCGGAGGCCUGCCGCUGUUGGAUGAGCCUGCGGCCGAUUAGCUUGUUGGUAGGGUAAUGGCCUACCAAGGCGACGAUCGGUAGCUGGUCUGAGAGGAUGAUCAGCCACACUGGGACUGAGACACGGCCCAGACUCCUACGGGAGGCAGCAGUGGGGAAUAUUGGACAAUGGGCGCAAGCCUGAUCCAGCAAUGCCGCGUGUGUGAAGAAGCCUUCGGGUUGUAAAGCACUUUCAGUGGGGAAGAAAAGCCUGGGGUGAAUAGCCCCGGGUCUUGACGGUACCUACAGAAGAAGCACCGGCUAACUCCGUGCCAGCAGCCGCGGUAAUACNGGAGGGUGCAAAGCGUUAAUCGGAAUCCUGGGCGUAAAGCG